rnacentral:lncRNA from 1 species
CACAGGUCGCCAGGUCGGGCCGUCGGGGUGGGGAGGGCGCGGGUCAGGGUGGGGAGGGAGGUGGGGUGAAUCCGGAGCGUUGGAUCGGAGCGAGGUAAUCUGUACCGUUGAGUGAGAAAUGAAAGAAUGAGUGAUAAGUGAUAAGUGAAAUCAUUUGUUGAACUAUAGGGUAUAUAUAUAGAUACAUAGAAAAAGGAAAAGAGAGGCAAGGUCACGUAGGUAUGUACGUUCGGAAGGAAAGUAAGUCCCCGGUCGAUUUGUUUUAAAUAAGGUCAAAUCUAAAUCGAGAGCAUCUGUUUAGGCAUAACCAGCAACAGGGCAUUAACUGGAAGAACAUACUUAACAACUAUAGUACUAGUCCAUCAAGCAAGUAGGUAAAUAUAUUUCUACCACCUAAGCCUCAAAUAAUUUUUUUCUCUUAAAUUACUCAUCUGAGCGAUCCAAACUGUUGUGUUCGUAAUAAUUAAAUAUUUAUAACAAGAUCUUACAUGAUUAUAUUUUUCAUGAAAAAUUACAAAUUAAUAUAUCUAAAUUAAUUUUAGAUUUCAUUAAAUUACUUCUUAGACAUAUAAAAGUAAAUUCAAUAGCCUAAAAGUAAUAUGUAUAUAUUAUAGAAGUAACUUAAAACAAAAAGAAAGUAACUUGUCACCACAUUAGAAGUAAAUCUGUUGUGAGGGUAAAAACAUGAGUCUAUCUAGAAAUUAAAUUUAGUCAACACAAAUUAUGGAAUUGACUAAAAACAAUAAUAAAAAUAAAAACUCAUAACAUUAUGAAUGUAUAAGAAUUAAUUUAAUAAAAUCUAAAAGUAAUUUUUAUAUAUGAUAAAGUAACUUACAUAUAUAAUAAAAGUAAUUUACAACAUAGAUAUUUUUUAUUAGAAUAUAAUCAUGUAAAAUCUUGUUGUAAAGAUUUAAUCUCAAUAAACACAAUGAUAUAAUCGGAUUAUAGAUCGGAUAAGUAAUUUAAGAGAAAAUUCUACCAGAAGAAAAAAAUACAUUCACUGUUGAGUAUACUAAUAGCAACCAGAGUGAGGUCGCUGGAUAUAACUAAUCAGCGGACUGCAUGAAAUCUUCAGUCAGCAUACUUUUCUAUUAAGCCUCCUCGCGAAGGCAAAAGGCAAACUCCUGUGGAAACCCUCAUGUAUUUGUAAACAUUCAUGUUAAUAAAUUAUGAUAAAAUACAGUGUUUCCUAUAUUUCUAUGUGUUUGUUGUUUUGUUUUCAUCCAACACUGGCUUACGUGCACAUUGCACACACUCAGGGCCUGUUUGGUAGAGUUCCAACUCCUAAAUUUAGUUUUAGGAGUUGGGUUUUCAGUAGAGUUGUGUAGCUGGCUAAACCCAGCUUCACCUCUCUAGUUCAUUUUGUGAAAGCGCUCCACCCAGCUCUACCCCUAUUUCAGUUGGAGCUGAAACUGUUUGGCUGAGCUCCAGCUUUAGAAAAGAUGAAGUUAGAGUUGGAGCUGUACCAAAUAAGCCUUCAGAACACUACUCCUACCUGCUAGCUGCGCAUGCACACGGAACUAAUGAGCUGGGCUGCCUUAGGCCUAUGGGGGGCUCGGCCCCUCCUGACCACUGCUGUGUUCGCCCUGCAUACUAUGUUUUAUGACUUUUUUCUAGUUCACAUAUAUUGAUGGUCUUUUUCUGCUAACCGCUCCAACUCUUAGAUGUUCAACAGAAAACCGCCGGUUUGAUGGCUUUUUUUUGGGUUUGGUCUAUUCUGCAGCCCGAACCGUGGCAGCACUGCUGGUUUUUUCUAUUUUGACCGCUGUUUGCACUACCACGGGAUGGAUUUUUCCGUGAGGACAAAAAAAAAACUUACGUACGGAUGAAUCGUGAUUUUUGCGUGUGGGUGGUGCCCCAACACACGAAAAUCAGAUUUUUUUUUCCGUGCGGUUGCUUAUGUCGCCCGCACGGAAAAAUAAAAAUCCGAAAAAAAAUAAUAUUCACAAAUUACCGAAACCCUAACCCUAGAUCCGCCGCUCCCCGCCGCCACGGCCGCCGGAUCCGGGCUGGGGACUGCCGCCGCCGCUAGAUCCAAUCGGAGGGUAGCCGCCACCGCCGGAUCCUAGUGUGGGGAGGGUGGCGCCGCUCCCGGCUGCCAGAUCCCGGCCGCCUCCUCCUCAUCGUUGUCGGCAGCCGCAUGACGUGGGGAGGGUGGCGCCGCUCCUGGCCGCCUCCUCCUUCUCGACGUCGGCGGCAGCCGCCGCGCCGCCUCUGCCAGCAGCCACGACGGGCGCCUCCUCGUCGGCGCGCGAUGGCGGCGCCGCUCCCGGCCGCCGCUUCCUCCUCGUUGUUGUCGGCGGCAGCGGCUGCCGCCGCGAUGCCUCUGGCAGCAUCCGCACCAGCCUCCCGCGCCUCGGCCGCCGCUGCCGACGCCCGCGCUCUCAGAGAAUGGAGAGGAGAGGAGAGUUGAAAGGCAGAGAGAGAAGUUUCGCUCAGAGAGAGGAGUGAAUAUUAAAAGGAGAAAGGUAGAGAGAGUAGAUGAAAAUUU